rnacentral:lncRNA from 1 species
ACANGCAUAUGUCAUCACAAGGACUUUUUCCAAGGCUUGUAUUGUGGCUGGGCUAACAAGAAAAUUGGUUUUUCUCUAAUACAAAAUCCUUGAGUUAAGAGAGAUUAAAUCAUCAUUCAAAGUUCAAGCACACUCUCUUUUUAACCAAUCUCACUCAUUCCCAACUUUUCCCUUUUUCAUUUUACAUUGAGCUCUUUUUACAUGCAUAAACUCUUUUCUUCUUUUCUUUUCUUUUCCCAUGCCUUUUUCUUUUUCAUCUUUUAAACUUAAUGCUUUUCUUUUUCUUUUGCUUUUCACUUUCCCCAUUCAACCCCAAACUUGAACCUUUUUAACACAUAUAAUUAUUCUCAACCCUAACUCAAGGUAAAUCAGUUCAAACAAGGGUUUUCAUACUGUUUAAGGUCAAG